rnacentral:rRNA from 1 species
UUUUGGAAACGACGUCUAAUACCGGAUACGAGCUUCCGCCGCAUGGUGAGGAGUUGGAAAGAAUUUCGGUCAAGGAUGGACUCGCGGCCUAUCAGGUAGUUGGUGAGGUAAUGGCUCACCAAGCCUACGACGGGUAGCCGGCCUGAGAGGGUGACCGGCCACACUGGAACUGAGGACACGGUCCAGACUCCUACGGGAGGCAGCAGUGGGGAAUAUGCACAAUGGCGCAAGCCUGAUGCAGCAACGCCGCGUGAGGGACGACGGCCUUCGGGUUGUAAACCUCUUUUAGUAGGGAAGAAGCGAUGUGCUUGUCACAUCAUGACGGUACCUGCAGAAAAAGCACCGGCUAACUACGUGCCAGCAGCCGCGGUAAUACGUAGGGUGCAAGCGUUAUCCGGAAUUAUUGGGCGUAAAGAGCUCGUAGGCGGUUUGUCGCGUCUGCUGUGAAAACUGGAGGCUCAACCUCCAGCCUGCAGUGGGUACGGGCAGACUAGAGUGCGGUAGGGGAGAUUGGAAUUCCUGGUGUAGCGGUGGAAUGCGCAGAUAUCAGGAGGAACACCGAUGGCGAAGGCAGAUCUCUGGGCCGUAACUGACGCUGAGGAGCGAAAGCAUGGGGAGCGAACAGGAUUAGAUACCCUGGUAGUCCAUGCCGUAAACGUUGGGAACUAGAUGUAGGGACCAUUCCACGGUUUCUGUGUCGCAGCUAACGCAUUAAGUUCCCCGCCUGGGGAGUACGGCCGCAAGGCUAAAACUCAAAGGAAUUGACGGGGGCCCGCACAAGCGGCGGAGCAUGCGGAUUAAUUCGAUGCAACGCGAAGAACCUUACCAAGACUUGACAUAUACGAGAACGGGCUAGAAAUAGUUCACUCUUUGGACACUCGUAAACAGGUGGUGCAUGGUUGUCGUCAGCUCGUGUCGUGAGAUGUUGGGUUAAGUCCCGCAACGAGCGCAACCCUCGUUCUUUGUUGCCAGCACGUCAUGGUGGGAACUCAAAGGAGACUGCCGGGGUCAACUCGGAGGAAGGUGGGGAUGACGUCAAAUCAUCAUGCCCCUUAUGU